UACGUAGGUGGCAAGCGUUGUCCGGAUUUACUGGGCGUAAAGGGCGUGCAGGCGGUUUUUUAAGUCUAGGGUGAAAGCUCCCGGCUCAACUGUGGGAGGGCCUUGGAUACUGGAGAACUUGAGGGAUGCAGAGGAAAGUGGAAUUCCCGGUGUAGUGGUGAUAUGCGUAGAUAUCGGGAGGAACACCAGUGGCGAAGGCGGCUUUCUGGGCAUUUCCUGACGCUGAGACGCGAAAGCGUGGGGAGCGAACCGG
rnacentral:rRNA from 1 species